rnacentral:miRNA from 1 species
AUAUUAACAGUCCUGAUCUCUUGGACUACAGGGGUUCAAGAGAUUUGUGGUCACUCACCGUUGGAUGUAAAUUCAAUGGUUCACUCACUCUUGCACUCAUUUUUAAAAAAAAAUUUGAAUCAUUGAAUUUAUAUCCGACGGUGGGUGACCACAAAUCUCUUGGACUCCUGUGGUCCAAGAGAUCGGGACUGUAUAU